UACAGAGGGUGCGAGCGUUAAUCGGAAUUACUGGGCGUAAAGCGUGCGUAGACGGUUAUUUAAGUCGGAUGUGAAAGCCCCGGGCUCAACCUGGGAAUUGCAUUCGAGACUGAAUAGCUAGGGUGCGGUAGAGGGAAGCGGAAUUUCCGGUGUAGCGGUGAAAUGCGUAGAUAUCGGAAGGAACAUCAGUGGCGAAGGCAAUCCCCUGGACCUGUACUGACGCUCAUGCACGAAAGCGUGGGGAGCAAACAGG
rnacentral:rRNA from 1 species